UACGAAGGGGGCGAGCGUUGUUCGGAUUUACUGGGCGUAAAGGGCGCGCAGGCGGCGCAUUUUGUCAGGCGUGAAAGCCCCGGGCUUAACCUGGGAACUGCGUUUGAUACGGAUGGGCUAGAGUUCGGGAGAGGAGAGUGGAAUUCCCAGUGUAGAGGUGAAAUUCGUAGAUAUUACAUGGAAUACCAAUUGCGAAGGCAGGUUGCUACCAAUACAUUGACGCUGAUGGACGAAAGCGUGGGGAGCGAACAGG
rnacentral:rRNA from 1 species